rnacentral:rRNA from 1 species
AAACUUUGAUUUUGUUUUAUACACACAACUUCCGCCCGGGAACUACAGGCGCUAGCCUGAAACCCAAAGGACUUGGCGGUGCCUCAGACCCACCUAGAGGAGCCUGUUCUAGAACCGAUACUCCCCGUUCAACCUCACCAUCCCUGGCUAAUGUCCGCCUGUAUACCGCCGUCGUCAGCUUACCCCCUGAAGGUCCCAUAGUAAGCAAAGCAGGCAUCGCCCAAAACGGCAGGUCAAGGUGCAGCGCAUGAGAUGGAAAGAAAUGGGCUACAUUCUCUGAACCAGAGAACACGGAAGGUGCAAUGAAACACGCACCUGAAGGCGGAUUUAGCAGUAAGAAGGAAAAACGAGCGUCCU